AUUGAACGCUGGCGGCAUGCUUUACACAUGCCAGUCGAACGGUAACAGGCCGCAAGGUGCUGACGAGUGGCGAACGGGUGAGUAAUGCAUCGGAACGUGCCCAGUCGUGGGGGAUAACUACUCGAAAGAGUAGCUAAUACCGCAUACGAUCUAUGGAUGAAAGCGGGGGACCGUAAGGCCUCGCGCGAUUGGAGCGGCCGAUGUCAGAUUAGGUAGUUGGUGGGGUAAAGGCUCACCAAGCCAACGAUCUGUAGCUGGUCUGAGAGGACGACCAGCCACGGUGGGAGUGAGACACGGCCCAGACUCGUACGGGGGGCAGCAGUGGGGAAUUUUGGACAAUGGGCGCAGGCCUGAUCCGGCAAUGCCGGGUGCAGGAAGAAGGCCUUGGGGUUGUAAAGUGCUUUUGUACGGAACGAAAAGGCUCUGGUUAAUACCCGGGGAAAGUGAGGGUCCGGUAAGAAUAAGCACCGGAAAACUACG
rnacentral:rRNA from 1 species